rnacentral:rRNA from 1 species
CCUACGGUGGCUGCAGUGGGGAAUAUUGGACAAUGGGCGAAAGCCUGAUCCAGCCAUGCCGCGUGUGUGAAGAAGGCCUUCGGGUUGUAAAGCACUUUCAGUGGGGAAGAAAGCCUUGGGGCUAAUACCCUCGAGGAAGGACAUCACCCACAGAAGAAGCACCGGCUAACUCCGUGCCAGCAGCCGCGGUAAUACGGAGGGUGCGAGCGUUAAUCGGAAUUACUGGGCGUAAAGCGCGCGUAGGCGGUCUGAUAAGCCGGUUGUGAAAGCCCCGGGAUCAACCUGGGAACGGCAUCCGGAACUGUCAGGCUAGAGUGCAGGAGAGGAAGGUAGAAUUCCCGGUGUAGCGGUGAAAUGCGUAGAGAUCGGGAGGAAUACCAGUGGCGAAGGCGGCCUUCUGGACUGACACUGACGCUGAGGUGCGAAAGCGUGGGUAGCAAACAGGAUUAGAUACCCUUGUAGUC